UGUUUUCCCCUCAGGAUACCUGAAGCUCUGGCAGCUCAGCAAGCCCAAGCUGUCGGGAUACGACGCCGUUUUCGUGGAUGAGGCCCAGGAUUGCACUCCAGCCAUCGUGGACGUGGUGCUGUCCCAGCCGUGCGGGAUCAUCCUGGUGGGAGACCCUCACCAGCAGAUCUACACCUUCCGCGGCGCCGUCAACACCCUGCAGGCCGUGCCCCACACCCACGUCUACUACCUGACCCAGAGUUUCCGAUUUGGUCCCGAGAUUGCUUAUGUUGGAGCAACAAUCCUGGAUGUUUGCAAAGGGAUCCGGAAUAAGACGUUGGUGGGUGGGAACCAAAAGGGUGAGUUGUGCUCUCUCAGCUCAGGGCCAUUGAAUAAAAUUAAUUUUAAUAAAUAAUAAUUAAUUUUAUUCACUAAUAACACCAUAAAUAGUAAAUAUGAAUAUCGAUUGUAAUAAAUUAAAUUAAUAAAAUUCGAUUAUAAAAUGUAAAUUCAGGU